rnacentral:rRNA from 1 species
UAUUGGCCUACCGUGGCAAUGACGGGUAACGGGGAAUUAGGGUUCGAUUCCGGAGAGGGAGCCUGACAAACGGCUACCACAUCUAAGGAAGGCAGCAGGCGCGCAAAUUACCCAAUCCUAAUACAGGGAGGUAGUGACANGAAAUAACAAUACAGGACUUUAAAAUAGUUUUGUAAUUGGAAUGAGUUAAGUAUAAACCCCUUUACAAGUAUCAAUUGGAGGGCAAGUCUGGUGCCACCAGCCGCGGUAAUUCCAGCUCCAAUAGCGUAUAUUAAAGUUGUUGCAGUUAAAAAGCUCGUAAUUGGAUUUCUGUUAAUAAUUUAUAUAUAAUAUUUUUAUUAAUAUUUAUAUAAUAUUAACAUAAUUCAUGUUACUAAUUUUAUUAGUAUAUGAAAUUUUACUUUGAGAAAAUUANAGUGCUUAAAGCAGGCAUUUGCCUUGAAUACUCCAGCAUGGAAUAAUAUAAAAGAUUUUUAUCUUUUUUAUUGGUUCUAAGAUAAAAAUAAUGAUUAAUAGGGACAGUUGGGGGCAUUUGUAUUUAACAGUUACAGGUGAAAUUCUUAGAUUUGUUAAAGACAAACUAGUGCGAAAGCAUUUGCCANGGAUGUUUUCAUUAAU